CGGCCACGAGGGCCGGGCGCGGUGCCUUUGAUCUGGAGGAUCAGAAGCGGUAGUUCAUGCCCACCGUGGUGGU
rnacentral:tRNA from 1 species